rnacentral:sRNA from 1 species
UAUUGAGAUCCUUCCGUCUGCACUUCAGCGCAGG